UACAGAGGGGGCAAGCGUUAUUCGGAAUUAUUGGGCGUAAAGGGCGCGUAGGCGGCCUGGCAAGUGGAAGGUGAAAUCCCUCGGCUUAACCGAGGAACUGCCUUCCAAACUGCUUGGCUUGAGUCCGGGAGAGGUGAGUGGAAUUCCCAGUGUAGCGGUGAAAUGCGUAGAUAUUGGGAGGAACACCAGUGGCGAAGGCGGCUUCCUGGCCUGUUCUUGACGCUGAGGCGCGAAAGCGUGGGGAGCGAACAGG
rnacentral:rRNA from 1 species